UCAAGUGACUAAGUGUAUGUGGUGGAUGCCUUGGCGAUCAUAGGCGAUGAAGGACGUGUAAGCCUGCGAAAAGCUGCGGGGAGUCGGCAAAAAGACUUUGAUCCGCAGAUGUCCGAAUGAGGAAACUCACCGGGUAACCGGUAUCACAAACUGAAUACAUAGGUUUGUGAAGCGAACGCAGUGAACUGAAACAUCUAAGUAACUGCAGGAAAAGAAAUCAACCGAGAUUGCGGCAGUAGCGGCGAGCGAAACCGCAGCAGCCUAGUCUUUGAUAAUGCAUGGUGACAGCAGAACGGUCUGGAAAGGCCGGCCACAGUGGGUGACAGCCCCGUAUGCGAAGUCCGGUGCAUGGUACUAAAAAGACGAUAAGUAGGGCGGGACACGUGACAUCCUGUCCGAAGAUGGGGGGACCAUCCUCCAAGGCUAAAUACUCAUGAUCGACCGAUAGCGAACCAGUACUGUGAAGGAAAGGCGAAAAGAACCCCGGGAGGGGAGUGAAAUAGAACCUGAAACCGCAUACAUACAAACAGUAGGAGCCCUACGGGGUGACUGCGUACCUUUUGCAUAAUGGGUCAGCGACUUACGUUUUGCGGCAAGCUUAACCGAGUAGGGGAGGCGCAGCGAAAGCGAGUUCGAACAGAGCGAUAGAGUCGUAAGGCGUAGACCCGAAACCAGAUGAGCUAACCAUGGCCAGGUUGAAGGUGUGGUAACACACACUGGAGGACCGAACCGACCGGUGUUGCAAAACCGGCGGAUGAGCUGUGGUUAGGGGUGAAAGGCUUAACAAAUCUGGAGAUAGCUGGUUCUCCCCGAAAACUAUUGAGGUAGUGCCUCGUGACUGACUCCGGGGGGUAGAGCACUGUUAUGGCUAGGGGGACAUGGCGUCUUACCAAACCAUGGCAAACUCCGAAUACCCGGAAGUUGAAUCACGGGAGACAGAGCACCGGGUGCUAACGUCCGGACUCAAAAGGGAAACAACCCAGACCGCCGUUUAAGGUCCCAAAUACAGGCUAAGUGGAAAACGAAGUGUGAAGGCUAAGACAGUCAGGAAGUUGGCUUAGAAGCAGCCAUCCUUCAAAGAAAGCGUAAUAGCUCACUGAUCGAGUCCUCAUGCGCGGAAGAUGUAACGGGGCUAAGUCUGUAACCGAAAGCGCGGAUUUGUACGCAAGUGCAAGUGGUAGGGGAGCGUUCUGUAAGCCUGCGAAGGUGUGUGGUAACGCAUGCCGGAGGUAUCAGAAGUGCGAAUGCUGACAUGAGUAACGAUAAAGCGGGUGAAAAGCCCGCUCGCCGUAAGCCCAAGGUUUCCUGCUCUACGUUCAUCGGAGCAGGGUGAGUCGGCCCCUAAGGCCAGGCUGAGAAGCGUAGCUGAUGGGAAGCAGAUUAAGAUUUCUGCACCGACGUUAAGUGCGAAGGGGGGACGGAGUUUUGAGCAUCAUCCGGGUGUUGGAUGUCCCGGUUUGUGCGUGUAGGAGGCCGGCAGGCAAAUCCGCCGGCAUAUCUCCGAGACAAAGCAUCGAGCUGCAUUUUGCAGUGAAGUGAUGGGAUGAACUUCCAGGAAAAGCCUCUAAGCUAUAGCUUGACGUCGACCGUACCGUAAACCGACACAGGUGGGCGAGUUGAAUAUACUCAGGCGCUUGAGAGAACUCGGGAGAAGGAACUCGGCAAAUUGACACCGUAACUUCGGGAUAAGGUGUGCCUUUGUAGUGUGAAGAGUGAAACACUCCGAGCAUGAAGAGGUCACAGAGAAUAGGUGGCUGCAACUGUUUACUAAAAACACAGCACUCUGCAAAGACGAAAGUCGACGUAUAGGGUGUGAUGCCUGCCCGGUGCCGGAAGAUUAAGUGAUGGGGUGAGAGCUCCUGAUCGAAGUCCCGGUAAACGGCGGCCGUAACUAUAACGGUCCUAAGGUAGCGAAAUUCCUUGUC
rnacentral:rRNA from 1 species